GGGUAGUUUGACUGGGGCGGUCUCCUCCUAAAGAGUAACGGAGGAGCACGAAGGUUGGCUAAUCCUGGUCGGACAUCAGGAGGUUAGUGCAAUGGCAUAAGCCAGCUUGACUGCGAGCGUGACGGCGCGAGCAGGUGCGAAAGCAGGUCAUAGUGAUCCGGUGGUUCUGAAUGGAAGGGCCAUCGCUCAACGGAUAAAAGGUACUCCGGGGAUAACAGGCUGAUACCGCCCAAGAGUUCAUAUCGACGGCGGUGUUUGGCACCUCGAUGUCGGCUCAUCACAUCCUGGGGCUGAAGUAGGUCCCAAGGGUAUGGCUGUUCGCCAUUUAAAGUGGUACGCGAGCUGGGUUUAGAACGUCGUGAGACAGUUCGGUCCCUAUCUGCCGUGGGCGCUGGAGAACUGAGGGGGGCUGCUCCUAGUACGAGAGGACCGGAGUGGACGCAUCACUGGUGUUCGGGUUGUCAUGCCAAUGGCACUGCCCGGUAGCUAAAUGCGGAAGAGAUAAGUGCUGAAAGCAUCUAAGCACGAAACUUGCCCCGAGAUGAGUUCUCCCUGACCCUUUAAGGGUCCUGAAGGAACGUUGAAGACGACGACGUUGAUAGGCCGGGUGUGUAAGCGCAGCGAUGCGUUGAGCUAACCGGUACUAAUGAACCGUGAGGCUUAACCUUACAACGCCGAAGCUGUU
rnacentral:rRNA from 1 species